AUGGUGCGAAUGUGCGCACUCACACACCCUUUGCGUUCGUGAUUGAGCCCCGGCCUUUGCUUAUCACCCUCCUCCCCUCUCACCUUUCUUUUGUUUUUUUCUUUUUCUUUCAGCCCUCCUUGCCGCUGUUCGUGCCUCUCGCCACCUCCGUUCACCUCUGUACUGUUGAGAGCAGUCGUUUGUGUUGGUUAGGGUACACUUGCGCCAAGGAGGCACAAACACGCGCACUCGUGCACACGGACACACACACACUCACGCACACUCACACGCAUACCGCAGCACCCCCGUCGCACCUGCUCUCCUGCUCAACCCCCUUUUUGCUUUUUUUCCUUGCGAAAGUGCAGCCUUUGCGGCUGUCAGUUCAAGCCUCAAUACAUUUUUUGCUGUGGUUUCUCCAUUUUCCUCUGCCCCUCCCCCUGCCGGCCCGCUACUCUCUAUCACUUCAUUAUUAGACCCCACUUCUCCUUCGCGUGUGUAUGUGCGUGGAUAUUUUUUCCCUCCCCUUUUCCGCUGUGUCCUCCGUGAUCACGCUUUCUUGCUCCCUUUGUACAACCAGCUACAUCUACUAGAUAAUUGUCCCUUCUCACCCCACCUCACAUCUCCCUCGCUCUCGCGCGCAAACCAGGCGUCUAUACACAGGGGCACACACACACACACGCACGCGCACGCGCAGAUACGGAAAGGUAGGCACUUGCUCUUCUCGCUUCAACGACGUAGAGGAACCGUGUGGCAUUGCCCAUAGGCUUGAAGCCGAAGCUGGGAGAAAGAGAAGAGGGUGCUCGUUGGGGAGCAAAGAAGCAGCCAAGACUACUGCUGAUGAACCGUCCGCGGGACUUCAAGCGCAAGACGGCGCAUCCACCGUCGCCGGCCUCCGCGGCGACAGUUGCAAGUGUGUCCCCUAUUCCUGUUCGCGCACCCACCAUGCGGGUGAGCUCUCUCGAAGGAGUUGAUGGCAGUGAAACGCCGCAACAGAGGCAGCGGGCCGCAGAGAGUCUGGCCUCGCAGGGGCAGCACCAAGCCGAAGGUGUGGUGAAAGCCAAAAGCGACGCGCAAGCCACUGAUAUUUAUGGCAGCAGCGACUCGUCCGUUCCCAUGGUAGCUGCAGGUGACGCGUGUAGCCGCGCAAGCCGCGCCAGCCCGCUUUUAUCCAGCUCUGAACCCGCUCUCUCAUCAACCGCUCGGCUUGCAUCGGUACCCGGAAUAUUUUCUUCUUGUUUGGCCUCUGCCGCGUUGCGGAAGACGAAGGUGUCGGAGGGGCACAGCUCUAACCAACCGCCAACUUCGCAGCAGCUGCGGCAGACUUUGAGGGCGCGUGCCACCGUUUUCCGACCACCUGUACGUGGAGGCGCGCACUCUCCGCGAGGAGGGGUCCCAAAAGUGUGCCCGCCGGCACCCCUCGCGAGCGGUGCGGCUGCAGCACAUGGACGCGUUGCUUCUGUGUCGACUUCAACUCCACCGCCGGCAAGCCCUGAGGCUCUCUCCGCGCACGAGGAACACGCCAGCGGUGUACCCGUGUCGCGCAGCAGCCGUAGUCGGCGCUCUUCAACCUCUGCGCUCCCGUUGUCACACACGUAUUCGGGCGCGGAAGUGCAGGGUAGUAACACAAACGUCAUUACCAGCAGCAGCACCAACAACCGCGGCUCGGCGCGCAGUCUGGGAAACGACACCGUCAUCUCCACCGCCGUGGGCCGGCAGCGGCCGAACAUGGCGGCGGUUUUGCUGCCGACGCAGCAGCUGCUGGAGAACGGCUACUACUUGGCGUCCGACGAGAGCGCGAACUCGAGCUUCUCCGACACUCCGCGCUCGGCGCGGCGCAUCUCUCUGGGUAGCAGCUCCUCUCUGCGCACCACAACGCAGCGGCUGGACGUGAACAGUAGCGGCGCUGUUGGUGGGGGUCGGUCGGCCACGGUAGCUACUGGCGCCUCCCCAAGCGGUAUCAACAGCCUUCGUGAUAGCCGGGACCCCAACAGCUACAGCCGAGGAAACUGCAGUGACGACAACAGCGACAUCAUGUUCGAGGAGGAAAAUGACCUCUGCAACUUCGACGAGGAGGACGAGGAACAGGCAGUGCUCACGUACAUGGACUCUGGGGCAGAGGGGAACCUUCCGGGCCGGCCAUCCUCAUCGAAUCGGGCACCACCGCCGCCAUCGGCGCGCCAGGGGUUGCUGUCCGCGACGGGUGCAGGUGAUGGGCCAAGCAUCGACCCCAGCUCCCUCAGCGUGAGCGUCGAAGUCGGCGACACCGACUACGACAUCGGCGAGGAUCCGCCAAGCUGUAUGUCUGUCAGCUCGCCGCCACAGCUGCAUCGUCGCGGCGCACCAGCGCUGCGCAUCUCCGCCUGCUCAGUGCGCAGUUCGGCGGCGGCUGAUUGGCAUGCCCCGACGAUGGUGCGUCGGCCAACCAGCGUUAGCAAAGCGAGCGGCGCGCCGUCGUUCCAGGCGGCGGUCACGCCAGCCAAGUUAACCACUGUCACUGCAGUGCCACGCAUGCUGUCGCGGCAGCACUCGACUGCGACUGCAGCUACCUCUUCCCGGCCUACUCCACUCACCACUGCGGCUGUGCACACGCCGCUGACAGCCACGUCGUCGUCUCCACGCUUCGCGUCGUUCUCACCGAGCCUGCAGCUGUCGUCCAUGAACGAGGAGGAGCUCCGCGAACGGGAGUGCAAGCAGCUUAGUCUCUACGAGGCGUUCUUUUUCAAUCCAACUCGAAGUAUGUGGCUCGUCGACGACCACGUCCUGGCCAAGGUUCUCGAGUAUGUGCGGAUAAUGGGAUACGAGCACCCCGCCUUGAAGCGCGACCGCCUCAAAGGUCAGCCCUCUCUGUGGAGCAGCAGCAGCGCCAUCGCCUCCCCUAUCGCUCCAGCGAAGUCGAAGAAGAAGGCUGCCGGCGUGAGGAACGCGAACUCGACAGCGCCGCAGAACAUGCACGCGUCGUCGUCGUCUGCCGCUGCCGAGGCCGUGGUGGAGGCUCUCGCACAGCCGGGCAGCGCCAACGCCUCACACACUCUGCCGACUGCUGCUGGCGGCUCUGCCGAUUCCGCAGCGUUUGCGACCAAGCACUUCUGCUUGAAGGCUGGCAAGCCCCGCUGUGCUCGGCAGUACGUGAACAGGUCCACGGCGACUGCUGCGUCACAUUUGUUUCUUACCUUCAGUGAGGCCAUGCGGUGGAUUGCGGAGCAGGAGUACGUUAUCGGCACUGUGCUGCUGUGCUGCGCACGCUUUAUCGGAGACCCGAACGCCGACGGGGCGGCGGUUCUUGGCGACGGCGUGGCGGACACUGCGCCGUGGCAUCCACGCCGUGCACUGCUGCAACGCAGAAAGCCGUGCAUCCCUCUGCGGUUCCACCCCAUCCACUUCGCGGCCUCUCUCGUGUGCUCGCGGUUCCCACAGUGGGGUGGAAUGUCCGCCUUCACCCGUGCCUGGGAGACGCAGAUCCGCCUGGUCCUGGGAAGCGCGUCGCCGUCGCACCAACGCCUCUUCAAGCUCCCCGACGACGCCCUCUUGCUCAGCUCCGACUGUGAGGCGGGAAACCUGCACCGUGUGGAGCGCGCAGGGGAGCCGUACUCCUUUCUUAUUUGGUUGGAGCCGGAUUUGGGGAGCGACAAGCGGAUUUGGUUCCGCUUCUCUGUGACAGGGGCGAAGGAGGGGCGCAGGCUGCGGUUUCGGCUCAUGAACGCGGCACCACACGUGAAGUUGUACCGGCAGAACGGCAUGAUGCCCGUGUGGCGUGAUGGGCUGAGCCAGCCGAACUGGGGGCCCGUGGACUCGUGCUCCUUCCGCACUACAAACCGGGACCUGGACGGCGAGGUGAGUUUCUCCAUAAACCCGCGAAACUCUACCGAAACGAUCCAGAUCGCCUUCUGCGCCCCGUACACGUACGCCGACUUGCUCUGCCACGUGUGCCACUGGCACGCCCUUGUGAAGAGCAGCGGGUGUGACAUGCGCUUCGAGGAGCGGGUGCUGUGUCGGAGUCCGGAUGGGCGAAAGCUUCAUUUGCUCAUCGUGACCAGCCGCGUCGGCGGCGCACCAGCGUUGGCGGCGACCGAAGACAAGAGCACUUCGGACGCAGCGAUUUCGGGCGGACGAGGGCACACUGGCGUGGGCGCGGAUGGCGUGGCGGCAGCAGGUGCGGGCUCCUCCAGUGGCUGGACGUCCCCUGGCGUCGCGAGCCCCACGAUGACGAUCCCACCCGGGAAGGGCAAGGGCGGUGCCACAAAGGAGGCGGUGCGUGGCCCGUACGCCAACUUCGCCUCUGGCAAAAAAGUCGUGCUCGUCAGUGGACGGGUGCACCCUGGCGAGGUGACGGCGUCGCACGGCGUCCACGGCCUCAUUUCUUUCCUGCUCUCCAGCGACGUUCGCGCGAUCCAGCUGCGCGAGCACUUCAUAUUCUUCAUUGUGCCAAUGCUCAACCCCGACGGCGUCAGCCGCGGUCAUUCCCGCAUGGACCAGUUCGGCAACAACCUCAACCGCUGCUACAACGACCCAGACGCGGAGACUCAGCCAACCGUGCUCGCGCUGCGGCGCGUGUUCGAGCACCUGCAGCACACGUAUCGCGAGCGCUUUAUCAUGUACCUCGACUUCCACUCCCACGCCUCGCAAUCCAGCGGCUUUAUGUUCGGCAACAACCUGCCCGUGUCUGUGCAGCACUGGAACCUCUUUUUUCCGCGCCUGGUGGAGCUGCACGUCCGUCAUGUCUUCUCCUUUGCGCUCUGCCGCUUUGGCCGCGUGCACAUGACAAGCAAGGAUGGGGCCUCGCGGGUGCUGUUUGGCAGCAGUCUCAUCCACAGCUACACGGUCGAACUGCCGCACUUCACGGACCGCCGCCUUUACGCGGACGAAUACGCAGCCAUGAACAACGGCAGCAACGUGCUCUUUGAGGUGACGUGGCCGCCGCUACACCAGACGUCAGGGCAGGCCGGCAGCGUUGACGUGAAUGAGGACGGUGCGCAGGAUGCUGAGAACGGUUCCGAAGGGAAGUGGCGCGGCGUGCGUCCGGCAGCCGGGGCUCGCGGCCUCUAUAAACGGUCGAAUAUGUUGCUCGCCGGCCGCGGAAGGGCAUGCCGGUCGAACCGUGAGAGCUCGUCAGCUCAGGCCAGGGAUGGCUCCCCGCCCAAGAAGUCUUCCGGUGCCGCCCCGAGGAGCCCGGGGCAUGCUAACUCGGCCGGCGUGGGCGAGCACUGUAGCGGUCAGUCCUCUGCAACUCAGAUCGGCGGUACGAGGUUGGCGUCGUUUCUGCAGCCCAUCUCCACCCCCUCCAUCCUUUGCCAGAGCGCGGAGGUGGGACAGGCGUGCCUGUUGGCGCUGCGCGACUACUGCUCCAUCGGUGCCCGUCCGUCGCCAGAGCUGACAAUGUUCGGCGGCAUGGACGGCGUGCUGCGUGAUUCGAAGCGCCAAGUCAAGUUGGACUCGUCGAGGAAGUGCAAGAAGGCCCAGUCAGUCGCCACAUACGCUGGGAUAAACCCCAUCUACAAGCAAUACUAGCCUACCUCGCAGCUGAAAACCUUAGCAGUAGCUAUUACGGUGCUCACACGGAUUGUAGAUCAGGGGUGCUAGGGUUGCCGCCCCAAGAAAACUCGACCCGUGCCUCGGAGGGAGUGCAUCGGAAUCAAUGGCGUACACCGAAAGACGCAUGCGGGCAGCGCGUGUCUUUCGAUGCGUAUGCGUGUCUUACCCGGCUUCCUUCUGGUUGGCUAUUCGCUUUUCCCAGUGUUGGAGGUCGUCUCUCACUACCUUGAUAGUGUCCCUGAGAUGCCUACCUCUCAUUGUGUGCCUGCGUAAGAGCAAAGUAAGUCACGACAGUGGCGAGACCUAGUGUAGGUGCUCUGUGUGCAGGUGUUCAUGCGUUGCUUGUCAUGAGUCACGGCUCUUGUCUCCGUCGCGAGAAACGCAGACGCCGCAGCACUGGCGUCAGCGGUCGCCG
rnacentral:misc_RNA from 1 species